UACGUAGGUGGCAAGCGUUGUCCGGAUUUAUUGGGUUUAAAGGGUGCGUAGGCGGCCCUGUAAGUCAGUGCUGAAAUAUCCCGGCUUAACCGGGAGGGUGGCAUUGAUACUGCGGGGCUAGAGUACAGAUGAGGUAGGCGGAAUUGACGGUGUAGCGGUGAAAUGCUUAGAUAUCGUCAAGAACACCUAUAGCGAAGGCAGCUUACUAGGCUGUAACUGACGUUGAGGCACGAAAGUGUGGGGAUCAAACAGG
rnacentral:rRNA from 1 species